ensembl:lncRNA
AGAGUUGAUUCAUUGGAAAAGACUCUGAUGCUGGGAGGGAUUGGGGGCAGGAGGAGCAGGGGACGACAGAGGAUGAGAUGGCUGGAUGGCAUCACUGACUCGAUGGAUGUGAGUCUGAGUGAACUCCGGGAGUGGGUGAUGGACAGGGAGGCCUGGCGUGCUGCAAGUCAUGGGGUCACAAAGAGUCGGACACGACUGAGUGACUGAACUGAACUGAACUGAAAGGUAAUCAUGUAAUUUUAAAAGACAGUAUAAAUGCAUAGUUCUUUUCCUAUCUUUACUUAACUGAUCCAGGAGCAAUUAUAAAAUAAUAUAUGUACAUAGUUGUAUUGUUGGACUUAUAACACAUAGAAAUGCAACAUAUUUGCCAAUAGCUGAACAAAGGUGGGUGGGAGCAAAGCUGUACUGGUGUAAAGAAGAGACACCAGAUGGUAACUUGGAUACACGGGAACAAGUGAAGAGAACUGGAAAUGGGACAGAUUUGCUUGUUCAUUUUGCUGAAGGAUCAUGUUUGGAUCAUUUGAUGGAUCAGCAUAUGUACAGCAGAAUUUAAGACUACAGAAUUCCUACUUUUGAGAGUUGCAACAUCGACAAUUACUAAGAGGAAGACUGUGAUACAAUUGUGAAGCAAGCAGUUACUUCUAAGGUAGGAGCCAAGAGUGACCAAAUUAAAAUAAGAGAAUACCAGUCUCAACCUGAAGAGGCCACACAAUCAGAUAUGAGGAUACUAGCCAAAUUGCAUAAUUUUAUGAUUUAGAUGUUAGCUUCCCAGAUAAUUUUAGCACAGUACUCUGGAUCUUUUAGUAAAGAUCCAGAGGUCUAUAGUCAUGUAAGUACAACAUUUUCCCCUAAGUCCCAUCUGAAAAGAAUGUUUUUAUACAUGUUCCACUUUGAAAGAUCUCUAUUUUGAACCACCUAUCCAAAUUUAUGAACCCCUUGGGUGAGGAAUUGCUUCAGUAAUAUUGUCAUUCUUCUGCUAUUCUCUCUACCAUUGCCCGUAGAAUUCUGCCUACUUCUCAAGCCUCAUGUGAAGUGUGAAAUAGCAAAAAAGCAGUCUAAAAUAUUCCUUGGUGGCUAUUUUUUAAAUCUAAAUUGAAGCCCAGAAUGUCUCCUUUUUGAAUUAAGUUAUCUAAAUGUCUGUUAUUCUUAGAAGGGAAAUUGAUGGGUCAAAAUGAACCCAGGAUGAUAUUAAGAAUUAUUCUGAAGGCUGUCAUCAGUUUACUGACAUUACUGAUCCCUGUUCAAUUUAUAAAUUUCUGACUACAGUCAAUAGUCUUUUGUGCUUCAAAUACUCAUAUAUGGAUAUCAAGUAGAAAAGUCAUGACACUCAUCCCAUUACCUGGUACCAGGCCAAUUCUAUUCGACAUCCACAUAGGAGUAUUUCCAGUGAAAGCAGAGCAUUGUGUGGUUCCUCACAAGUAGAAUUGGAUUUAAAUCACAAAAGACUAUUGACUGCAAUCUGUAAAUUGGACUGG